AUUGAACGCUGGCGGCAGGCCUAACACAUGCAAGUCGAGCGGAGCGGCGGACGGGUGAGUAAUGCCUAGGAAUCUGCCUGGUAGUGGGGGAUAACGUCCGGAAACGGGCGCUAAUACCGCAUACUAUCAGAUGAGCCUAGGUCGGCUUAGCGAGUUGGUGGUGUAAAGGCCUACCAAGGCGACGAUCCGUCACUGGUCUGAGAGGAGGAUCAGUCAAACUGGAACUGAGACACGGUCCAGACGCUUACGGGAGGCAGCAGUGGGGAAUAUUGGACAAGGGGCGAAAGCCGGAGCCAGCCAUGCCGCGUGUGUGAAGAAGGUCUUCGGAUUGUAAAGCACUUAAAGUUGGGAGGCGUUACCAACAGAAUAAGCACCGGCGAACUUCGUGCCAGCAGCCGCGGUAAUAC
rnacentral:rRNA from 1 species